rnacentral:lncRNA from 1 species
UCCUGCCCCCUGCUGAGGACACAGCCACCCCACAGAGCAGGCCUGCGCUCCUCGGGGGCCAGGGUGUCCCGAUGGCGCCCCCAGACCCGAGCCAGGGUUGAGGUGGGAGGCGGAACUGCUGCCUCGGACAGCAGGGGUCGUGGGCGGGCGUGGCGGAGGCCGUGGGUCUCGGGCGGGAGGCUGAGCCGGGAACCAUGGGAGGAGAGCAGCUGUCCACAGAGCCGGAUCACGUCAGCCCGUGGCGCCCACAAGACUCCGGCUCACGCCGCGCCUGUGGCCCCGGGACGCGGGCUGCGCCACGCUCUGCCGCCAAAAGCUGUCUUCCUCCGACAUUUGAGCUUUCACACUGGGGAGCCAACCCUGACUCUGCUCCUGUCGCUCCUGGGAGCGGGGCAGGCGUGCUCGGAUGCCGCCUGUGGGCGCUGCUGCUGUCUCGAUCCCAGCGUCCGCUUACCUGCAAGUCAGAUCCAGGGACUCCAGAGGGAGAAGCCCACAUGCCGUGAGUGUGCCGGGAAGCCACCGGUGGCCAGCUCGCCUGCUGGGGCGGGAGACCCUGGAGCGCCCUGCCGGGUGUGCAGGGGGCUUUCUGUCCUCUCAGGACAGGACAAGGGGCGGCUUCGGCCUGCUGCGCUCUGGGCUACGUCGCAAAGGCCCCGGGCCAGCCUCCUUCUCUCCUGGGGUCAGCCCACACAGCGCUGCGUCAUCUCCAGCACCCACAGCCCCGAGAAAGCCCUGCCCCAGCACUGCAGUCUGGGUGGCACCCAGCUACCCAUGGGGCUGCAGGUCUGGCAGGGGUGGGGCAGACGCCGUGUGCUUGAAGGGGGCAGAGACGAAAGCCACCCUGGCCCCGAGCGUGGAGCGCUGGGACAUCAAGCUAGGUCACGGAUAGGACCGGAACGGCACUGCUGCGUGGCGCACGUUCUAAGAGCAGAUGGUGCGACCAGGGACACCCGCGGUGGCACCUGUGCUCCGUGCUCCUGGAGCCCACAUCCUGGGGGAGACAGGCGGAGGAGCACACGGAGGGGGAGGGGCAGACUUCCCUGGGAGCAGGGGCAGGGGCCACGACAGGGAGGUGAGGAGGUGGCCCUGUGA